ensembl:lncRNA novel transcript
GCAGAGCAGGGACUGGAACUUAGGUGUGUAGUUCUGCCGACGUCAAAGUCCAUACUACAGAUUUUUUGUUAGUUUGUUUCUCUUUUGCAAAGGAAUAAAUCAAGGACUGGACCGGGUGCGUGCCUGCUCUGCUGCGGUUUAGGAUGGGGCUUGAGGUUCUCCUUCCAGGAUCAGCUGAUGGGAGAGCACAAGGCACAGAAAGUUCUCUGUCUCACCCACAGCCAUGGGGAUCCAGCUGUAGGUUCCUGCAGCCAGAUUUCCUCAUUUCCUGGGUUGUUCUCAACCACCCCAAAGAUACCACGACCAGACUGGAGCCUCUUCCCUGUGGCUUGGCAUCGCUGGAUCCUGGCAUCAGGACAGGGUUUCUAGGCUGCCCGCAGGACGGAUCUGGUUUCUUUGAGGCAUUUGAGGUCUUAUUCUGAAUUUGAAUUUGUUUAUCCAGAAGGAGUGCUGUUUCCUGGCUGGAGUGCAGUGGCAUGAUCAUAGCUCAUUGCAGCCUCAAACACCUGUGCUCAAGCAAUUCUCCUGCCUCAGCUUCCUGAGUAGCUAGGACUACAAGCAUGUGCCACCAUGGCCAGCUAAGUGUUUUUUGUAGAUAUGGGGGUCCCAUAAAUAUGUACAUUUACAAUGUGUCCAUUAAAAAAAUAAACAAAAA